UUUGGUAAGGUGUUGUAAACUUUCCUAGCAUUCAUAAGAAUAUGGAAUGCAUCCUGGGCUGGAGGAUUAAGGACUUUUUCUUUAUCCGGUGUUUCUUGAAUUUCCCGGCAUUUUAUCAUAAGGUACUUGGUAUUAAAGUUGAUAAGAACGUCCACCGGUGUAGUUUCAUGUGUAACGGUUCCAUUGUCAUUUAUUUUGCCGUGGUCACUACUGCCGGCCCUUAUUUCUUCAAUCACAAUAUUAAAGUUUUCUAAUUGUUCAUUAAUGACUUGACCUAUGGUUUCAUGACGAAGGCAUUUCACAAAUUUUUUGUCUGAUAAUAUUGAA
rnacentral:lncRNA from 1 species